UUUUUUUUGUUGUUGUGGAGGAAGGAGAUGCAAAUGUUAGCACAGAGAACAAUUUACUGCAAACUAAGUUACUAAUCAAUAGCUGACAGUGGAACAGACCGUCCACUGCAGUUGUAAGAAUCAUAUUCAACCCAUGAUGGGAGAUGCUAGCAAGGGGGACUGCUCUGUUUAAAUUGUAUCUGUGUUUUGUAUUCAGACAUAAAUAAGCUUGCUGAUCGUAUCACUGUCUCAGAUUUAUGGUAAACACAGGAGAGCACAAGAAUUUCAGAAAACCUCCCUGGGUCUUGCAAUUUUCUUAGAGUAAAUACCUUCCACUCCCUCUUUGAAUGAAAGAAAACAUGGGAUGAGAGUCCAGAAAACUCCUAAAAUUCACAGCUAGGAAACCAAGGCUUCAUAGAAAAUAUUGGAUUAGACAGCCUGAAGUUAGGGCAACACUGUGAAAAGAGCUCAAAAUAUGUUUUACGACCAACGCAAAGUGCAUGCAGAAUAAUGAUCCCCUGCUACAUAGAGUCCUACAAUGGUAUUUUACACAUCUUAAAUUAAUCAUGAUGGGGAUCACAUAAUUAACUCCCACUUAACAUUAUCAUUCUGGGCUCUCGAGAAACUUGCCAGGUCCUCCCUCCACUAGAGCGCCAACAAAAUGACUAUAAAUUCGUUUUUGUCACAGAUAGCAAACAUGAAGAGAGGCUCCUUCCCCAUCCCCUUCCCCAUGGUGGUCUUCAGGCAAAUAUUCUCCCCUUACUGACUACAUGAUACAGAGCUGCGGAUUCCUGGCCUUGGAGUCUUCCAGAGAAGCCCCCACAUACCCCCUAAGGCAUCUGCUAUUAGUUUCCAGGAUACCUGGCUGGCCACCUCCUCUUUUGGCAGCCUCUUCUGCUUCCGUGGAAGACUCCCCUCCGGCCCCCCCUCCUUUCUGCUUCCCUACUCCCUAAUCCCCUUUCUUUGUCAUUAUCUCUACAGGAAAGACCAGCAAUUUCCAAAUAAUGGCAUCAAAUCUGCAAAGUUGCUGAAAAGUUGUAUAGAAUAUUAGAGGUUCAUAUAAGAAGAAAAAGAGUAUAUGUGUGCGUUCCCCAAAUUUACUAAAUGUGGCAUAUGUCUUCAGUAGGGCAACCAGCCCCUUGGUUCCUUGAGCUGAGGGGCUGUGGCUCAUAUAUCUGCCUGCCUCACUCACCUCUCCCAAGGGGGCCCACAGGACUCCUUGAAAAAAUCCGUGAAUACCUCCUCUUGCCUCUAUGAGACUGAAACCAAACCAGGAGGAGGAUGAGCUCAGAGGUGUCAUUGUCUUCCACCCUUGGCUGGCUAUGAAAUGAAGGCUGCUCUUGAACCUUCACAAUGAGUCACUAUCCCCCCUUUACAGAUAAGGAAAAGGAAAAGGAUGGUCACAAAGGUUAGGUGAGGGGCCCACGGAGAGUGCCUGUCCAUUGUCAGGGACAGAAACAGACUCCGAUCCAGAUCUGGCUGGCCCGACAACCGGGUACAGAUGCCAGCAGUGCAUCAUCUGACAGUGACUAACUUCUCCCACUUCUGUGAGUGUAGACAUAGUCAUUUAAAUCAUUGCCCAGGCCUGGCUUCUCACCACAACACAGACACAAUCAUUUUUUACAUGGGUAAAUUGACCAAAAAGGUCUUCUAGGUCAACUAAUCAGUAACGUCCUUUGCAGCCUAAAGUUACACGAGGGACAAAAUCAUUUCUCUGGUUCCUUGGAGAAGACAUACCUCAAAUGAGCUACAAGACGGUGAGUGGCUUAACUGGGAUGCGUGACUUCAAGAGCAUUGAGUAGAAGUCUGGUAGCAGGAUGAAACGGAUAUUUUCCUUAGUCAUCCUAGGACAAGUGAGUCUCAGAGAUCAUGAGACAAGAACUAGAUGAGAUUUUCUGGUCCUUUCUCCUGCCCGAAGAUAAUGCCUAAUGAUGAUGAUGGUAGGGAUCCCCAGAACGUCGCCCUGUGUAUAUCACAUAAUCAGCAGAGGUGAGGUAAAGGGGAGGGGUGUGCUGACAACAGUGCCGAUGUUAAUUAUGGCUUCCCGAGGGCAGCGUUCCAGUUACAUUACCUGUAACUUUCAAUUCUGGAGCUCUCUCUGCUCAAGUGAAUGAGCCAUCACAAAUGCUAGCUGACCAGCCGAUUUCUCAGAUAUAAUUAUGUUUUUCUGAUGAGGUUCAGGAAAGCUCAGGGCAUCAGGAGGACUUCUUGCCACCACACAUCACACCCAGAGCCCUUCUCUCCAGGUUCCAUUUGUAAAAGGACGAGUCAGCCUGGGUGGCCAUUUUCCACCCUUGAACCAGACCAUGGGUCAAUGGCUUCCAUGCCUUCCUUUCGCACUGCAGGUGACCUCCCAAAGUCCUGGAUCACAGCUGACUAAAUGAACUGGAUAAUUAAAAGAGGGGAUGAGCCAUGCCUUGAGAUUUUGCCUGCCUCAUCAAGAACAUUGUGCCCUUUUUAUCAAUCUACUGGGUUUUUUUGUUUUUAUUUUUCUCCUUUUGAAAAAUGAUUAGCCUUGAGAAACUUCCUAACCAUGGCACCAUCCACCAUUAGCUGUCAUGGCCAGAGUGUUUGAAAAGUUACAAAUGCACCCUGUGCUUAGAAAAUUCAGUUGA
rnacentral:lncRNA from 1 species